CUUCAGAGCAAGCGAGAGCAGUUCUUCAAGAACGAGCCAACCACCCCGACCAUGCCGGGCCCCACCCCUGGCUCUGGUUCCGCCCCCUCUGUUCCACCCCCGACCGCCCCCGCCCCCUCUGCCAUCAAAGAGGCUCUGGCCAAACGGGCGGCGGAACGAGGUAGGCUGCAAAAUGGUGAUUCCGCAAACAGUGAAGACAACAAAGAGCGUUACAACAAAGAAAAUAAGGCGCCAGAAAGAAGAACCAAAGAGCUUGAUGGAUAUGUUGGAUUUGCGAAUUUGCCCAAUCAAGUUUAUAGAAAAGCAGUGAAAAGAGGUUUCGACUUUACUCUUAUGGUUGUUGGUGAAUCUGGCUUGGGAAAGUCUACUCUCAUCAACUCAAUGUUCCUUUCUGAUGUAUACUCAAAUGAACACCCUGGACCCUCACUAAGAGUUAAGAAAACAGUUGCUGUCGAAACAAGCAAAUGUCUUCUGAAAGAAAAUAAUGUGAAUUUAUCUUUAACUGUCGUGGACACUCCAGGGUUUGGAGAUGCUGUGGACAACAGUAACUGCUGGGCACCUGUUGUUGAAUACAUUGAGUCUAAAUAUGAAGAGUUUCUGAACGCUGAAUCACGUGUAAACCGCAAAAUCCUCUCUGAUAGUAGAGUGCAUUGUUGUCUAUAUUUUAUUGCGCCAUCAGGUCAUGGAUUGAAGCCCCUGGAUGUUGAGUUUAUGCAGAGGUUACAUGACAAAGUCAAUAUAAUUCCAGUCAUUGCCAAAGCAGACACAAUGACACCUGAUGAAUGCAAUCAGUUCAAAAAGCAAAUUCUUAAUGAAAUUGCACAACAUAAAAUUAAAAUAUAUGAGUUCCCAGACACAGAGGAGGAGGAAGAAGUGAAGCAACACAAAGCCUUGAAGGACCGUGUGCCAUUUGCUGUUGUUGGUUCGAACACUGUUAUUGAAGUUGAUGGCAAGAAAUUGAGAGGUCGCAAAUAUCCAUGGGGCAUUGCUGAAGUGGAAAACCUCGAGCACUGUGAUUUCAUAGCUCUCAGAAAUAUGUUGAUCCGAACUCACCUUCAAGAUCUCAAAGAAGUUACCAACAGUGUCCAUUAUGAGAACUACCGUUGCCGAAAACUAGCUGGACUUGGUACAGAUGGCAAACCAGGCAGAAUAUCAAACAAUGUGGCCCCACAAGGAGUUAUGAACAGUUUCAUGACAGUCUGGAAUCCAUUAGCUCAGAUGGAGGAAGAAAAGCGGGACCAUGAUGCUAAGAUGAAGAAGAUGGAGACGGAAAUGGAACAAGUAUUUGAAAUGAAAGUUAAGGAAAAGAAGCAGAAGCUGAGAGACUCUGAAUCAGAUCUCCAACGUCGUCAUGAGCAAAUGAAAAAGUCACUAGAGCAGCAGCUGCGUGAUCUUGAAGAGAAACGAGUGGCAUUUGACAAGGAGAGACUUGCCUGGGAACAGCAAAACGGAGUAACACUUCAAGAGUUGCGGAGACGUUCUUUGGAGGCCAACAGCAAAGAGUCGACCAACUCCAUGUUGCAGUUUAUUCGUAAAGCUAUGUAAAGCAUUUUAGCAUUUGAUUGCUCCUCCACAGAAGAUCUUCUUCUGUAGGUUCCUGCUAAAUCAUUCUUCCUGAAAUUUGUGAGAAAUGUUUUGUGUGUGUUUCCACUUUUGAUGUUUUUUGUUCAAAAUAUUUUGCUAGAUCAUAAUCAAAUUCCUCUCUAUGUACAUUCCUUUUAUUGCUGUGUGAUGGUUCAAAGAAACUCUUCUUGCAAAGUAUUCUCUCAUGUCAUUGUAAUUAGUUGUGACUUGCCUGCUCUUGUAGUUAUGACUUCUCGUUUGACUAGCCCUUUAAAUAAAUGGCUCCAGAUAAUCUUAUUGGUUUCCUCAAAAUUGUGAUUUUGUAACAGCAAAUUUUUUUAUGUUUUAUAUGUAUCUGAUUAAGUGUUCGCUUUUUAUGUAGAAUUUGUGCCUGUUUUUAGAAGACUGAAGUUAUUUAUUAAGUAUUGCUUUAAGGUAAAACCAAGGUGCAAGUAAGAAUUGUGAAAGUUCUGCAUGACAUUGUUUGCCUGUCUUUUAUAAUUAAUUGCUAUAUUUUAACAUGUACUUAAUUUUACCUUUGCUAAACAUAUCACAUUUUAAAUUAAAUAAAUGUUUGUUUUAUAUUUUUCUAUCUUGACAGUUAUUGGUUGUGUGAUGCACGAUACAACAUAUUCUUUCUCUAGUACAUUCAAAAUUGCAUAUUCAACAGACAGUACAGUAAUUUUUUUCUGUUUUUUCUCUUGUUGGAUAGUGUUGAUGUAUCCCCAAAAAUGAGCUACCAGCUGAAUAACUUGUCAUUUGCAAAUUACAUUCUGCUUUUUAAUGCUUCAUUCCUGCCUCUUGUUCAUAUUGCUAUGGCUAUCACUAAGAUCAUGCUGCUUUUUCAAGUUGCCUGUACAUCAAAUUUACUAUAGUUUUGUAUAUGUUUUCCUUGUUAAUAUUACAGUUGUUGCCUCUCCACUAAGUCAGUAUUCAUUAUCAUGUAUAAGGUGUCGCUUACAGACAUGUCCCUUUCAAGGUGGGUUUUCCCGCUAUUUAUUUGAAUCCAUACCACUUAGCUUCUGACUACUGCUCUCUUUCUGGAUUCGGCACAGCUUAGCUCAACUCAAUGACUUGUGUCGGCAAGCUGGGUGAGAUGAGCCAACCUCACCCGCACAGCCUGCCUAGCCACCCACAGCAAACCCAUAGAUUCAAACCAGUGGGGGGAAAGUCUUGCCUUCAACAGCGUGCCCUUUAGUACUCUAAAAUCUUGAUUCGACUCUCAAUUUACUGGAUUAACUGAUAUGCCUCUAACUGCACUAUAUAUAUCUCGGCAAGACUAAUGGAAUGUUCCAGAUUUUGAAUUGAUUUGUGAAUAUUAUCAAUGCUUUUGGUGAAGGUUGCCUGAAGAUAUUUCCUGGCUUUCCUUUUUUGAUGGUAUCUCAUGACAUGUUACACAUUUGCCAUGUCUGCUUAUAUCAAUGUCCUUUUUAACAACCUACAUCUGAAGAGAACCAUUUUGAAGCAUGACUUGUAAAGCACAGUCAUUUAGGAUGGUCGAUGGAAAAGAAAAGAAGAACAAAAAGAAGGGGCUCUUUUAAACCAGUUGUUAAUGGACCAGAUAAUUCUUUCAAUGCAAGGUCGUAUGCUUGUGGGCAAAAUUUGUGUCAGUCACAACUUUUAGAUUUUGUAAAUAUUGAGUCUCAUAACUUCUAGCCUCCUCUAAUGUGUCAUUUCUUGUAGGAAUUUUUGGAAUGUGAACUUGACAAGUUUUGACCACAUCCAUACGCCUUUUGAUUUCAUGUCAGUGCUCACCUAGCCAUAAUUCUGUGGAAAGCUAUGUACAAAGAUAUCUUGUUGGUUUAUUUAUUAUUCUUUUAUAAUUUCUCAGUAGAGAUGUAGAUGUAAAUGAGAUUGUUUUAUGUUUAUGACAAGUCUGUAUAUAUGACAGGUGUGCAAUGUUGUCAUUUUGAAAUAUUGUAUCAAUUUGGAGUGAUAAGCAUGUUUAAACCAAAGGAUGAAAGUAUUUUAUUUAAAACAUACCUGGAAAACAUCUUUAUAGUUUAUCUCUAUCUUUGACAUGCUCCUACAACACUGCCAGUAUUUCCAGAUACCUUGGUAGCAUCAAACUUCAGAUCGCUUCUUUUGGCAAGUUGAGUCAAAUGUUUAACUAAAUGAAUUUCUGGAAGAGCCUAUGUGGUACCUUCAGUAUUCUCUAGUGUAGUUAUUCAAAUUUUAUAUGUGCUAAUAAGUGCAAUGGGUAGUCAAAAUCCUCAAAAGCAGAUUUCUUUUGAAUGAGUUAAUUGAUUUAGCCAAUCCAAGGCAAAUCUAUAGUAUCUCUUAUCUUAUUGUACAAUGUUGGAUGUGAUUUUAUAAACCUUUCUUUAGAUAUUAUUUUACAAAAGAAUGCCAUGCCUCAGUGCACAUGGUUAAUGUUACCUGAGAUUUGAUUGAAGUGGUUUGCAUGAUUGACAGGCUUAGGAAGGAUCAUUAAAAUCAAUUUGUGGUGUGCCAAUGAUCAAAUGACACUUAUUUUUGUCAUUAAUGUACAAUGAGACAUUUCUGAUCAUUCUGUUUAAUUAUCAAAUUUAAUUUAGAUUAAAGUUUUACGUUUUGUUUUCAUUUCUUCUUUUUUUUAUGAGCACAACAGAGAUGAUCACUCUUAGGAACCAUUCACUUCCAUUAAUUAUUUAAACAAUGUUUUGUGCCUCUUUUACUCUGAGAACCAUACUUAAAGUAAUGAUAAAUUAGCUCCAUGUUUGGUGAUAUCAUUCAAGAUGUUUGGACUGCUUGUCUAAAUUCCAUUGGUAUUAAAACCAUUUUGCUAAUUUGCAUCUACAUUGUAAUUGGAUCUGAUAUUAUUAAUGAAAAGUAGUGUCAGUUGUGUCAUAAUCAUGAUUUAGGCAAUAAAUGAUUUUAAUAAGGACA